rnacentral:rRNA from 1 species
UACGUAGGGAGCAAGCGUUGUCCGGAUUUACUGGGUGUAAAGGGUGCGUAGGCGGCCCUGCAAGUCAGAAGUGAAAUCCAUGGGCUUAACCCGUGAACUGCUUUCGAAACUGUAGGGCUUGAGUGAAGUAGAGGCAGGCGGAAUUCCCGGUGUAGCGGUGAAAUGCGUGGAGAUCGGGAGGAACACCAGUGGCGAAGGCGGCCUGCUGGGCUUUAACUGACGCUGAAGCACGAAAACGUGGGUAGCAAACAGG